CACAUAAGACUUUGUCCAUCCAGGGUUACGAUGAAUGUAAAAUAUAAACUAAAGAACCCCCUGAAUGAUGUAGGCUAUGGGGCCACAUAAGACUUUGUCCAUCCAGGGUUACGAUGAAUGUAAAAUAUAAACUAAAGAACCCCCUGAAUGAUGUAGGCUAUGGGGCCACAUAAGACUUUGUGCAUCCAGGGUUACAUAGCAGGACAACUUUAAACUAAAAAGCUACCAGACUGGGAUUUUAGUGUACUCCAGGAUCUAACAAAUACAUACGUACUACUACGAAGUGUGCAAUGCAUGUAUAUAGUGACAGUGUUUAGUGUAUACCCUAAGGAUUAAGUGUAGUACAUUGUGCUUUUUAGUGUCACAAGAGUUUAAUAAAGAAUUAUACC